AAUAAAGUGCCUGAAUAAAGGAUUAUUCUGAUAGAAUAAAUUAUAUAAAUUAACCAUUUAUCUUUAUUA
rnacentral:tRNA from 1 species